CCUACGGGAGGCUGCAGUGGGGAAUAUUGGACAAUGGGCGAAAGCCUGAUCCAGCCAUGCCGCGUGUGUGAAGAAGGCCUUCGGGUUGUAAAGCACUUUCAGUGGGGAAGAAAGCCUUGGGGCUAAUACCCUCGAGGAAGGACAUCACCCACAGAAGAAGCACCGGCUAAUUCCGUGCCAGCAGCCGCGGUAAUACGGAGGGUGCGAGCGUUAAUCGGAAUUACUGGGCGUAAAGCGCGCGUAGGCGGUCUGAUAAGCCGGUUGUGAAAGCCCCGGGCUCAACCUGGGAACGGCAUCCGGAACUGUCAGGCUAGAGUGCAGGAGAGGAAGGUAGAAUUCCCGGUGUAGCGGUGAAAUGCGUAGAGAUCGGGAGGAAUACCAGUGGCGAAGGCGGCCUUCUGGACUGACACUGACGCUGAGGUGCGAAAGCGUGGGUAGCAAACAGGAUUAGAUACCCCAGUAGUC
rnacentral:rRNA from 1 species